rnacentral:rRNA from 1 species
ACUCCUACGGGAGGCAGCAGGUAGGAAUUUUCCGCAAAUGGGACGAAAGUCUGACGGAGCAAUGCCGCGUGAGUGAUGAAGGUUUUCGAAUCGUAAAGCUCUGUUGUAAGGGAAGAAUAGCAAGAAUAGGAAAUGAUUCUUGUCUGACGGUACCUUACCAGAAAGCCACGGCUAACUACGUGCCAGCAGCCGCGGUAAUACGUAGGUGGCAAGCGUUAUCCGGAAUUAUUGGGCGUAAAAGCGCAUGUAGGCGGCUCUUUAAGUCUGAUGUGAAAGCCUGGUGGCUCAACCACAUGAAAUUGCAUUGGAUACUGGAGAGCUAGAAUCUUGGAGGAGGUAAAGUGGAAUUUCAUGUGUAGCGGUAGGAAUGCGUAGAUAUAUGAAGGAA